GAUGGCAGCGCCCUUGUCGUCACUAUCGAGUAGUGAAGAGGAUGAAAUUAUUGUCAGACCUCCACCAAAAGUCAGUAAAAGGGUUUAUAAACAAUGCUAUAUGCAUCUCACGUCCAUAAAAAAAGAAGAAACGAAGGAUUUUACACGCACACGGUGGAAUACAUUUAGAAACUGCAUCAAACGGUGGCUUGACUUGCAAGGGUGAGAGUCAGAAAAUAGCAGAAACAUACAAACAUUGUCUAGAAAUCGCGUUUGACCGUGUGCCCGAAGACGCAGGGUUUCACUCCACUUGCUACCGGCGUUUUAUUGACAAAAAGCGCUUGGAUGCGGCCGAGAAACGAGUGUUCGGGUUUGCAAGAAAACGGACAAGUACAUCACUGUGGCAGGCAAACGCCAGAAGGACAAUCUUUCACAAGCGGAGACACUGUCGGCAGGCCAGUUGCUCAAAGCAGCUGAGAUGAAGGAAGACACUAGCAUUCUUGUGCAUAUUAAAGACAAAGACUGUGUGUCUCUUGAAGUACGAUAUCACAAGUCCUGUUACAGACAGUACACCAGGUUCUUGACAAAGUCUACUGGAACAAAUACACAGACCUCAGAAGAACAAAAUGAGCCAACCUAUGAUGUCAGCUACAAGAUCUUCUCUGAGAGAAUCAUCCGCCAUCGAAUAAUUGUAAACCAAGAGGCAGGAUAAAUUGAAGAGGAGGCUGUCCCGUGAUUUCCCCCAGCUGGUGUUUCACUCUCCCAACAAGCGCAACAUCAGUGAAUUGGUUUUUGUUGAGACACUUUCUGCAGAUAAGCUGGUAGACAGAAUACCUCAUCCAUCAGGUACAGAAACAACUGAGUCAACGGAAGUAACUAGUCAAAGUGACGGUGAAAGCACAGCAAGUAGAAUAGCUGGUACU